rnacentral:rRNA from 1 species
CCUACGGGUGGCAGCAGUGGGGAAUACUGGACAAUGGGGGCAACCCUGAUCCAGCCAUGCCGCGUGUGUGAAGAAGGCCCUCGGGUUGUAAAGCACUUUCAGUGAGGAAGAACGCCUGGUGGUUAAUACCCAUCAGGAAAGACAUCACUCACAGAAGAAGCACCGGCUAACUCCGUGCCAGCAGCCGCGGUAAUACGGAGGGUGCGAGCGUUAAUCGGAAUUACUGGGCGUAAAGCGCGCGUAGGUGGCUUGAUAAGCCGGUUGUGAAAGCCCCGGGCUCAACCUGGGAACGGCAUCCGGAACUGUCAAGCUAGAGUGCAGGAGAGGAAGGUAGAAUUCCCGGUGUAGCGGUGAAAUGCGUAGAGAUCGGGAGGAAUACCAGUGGCGAAGGCGGCCUUCUGGACUGACACUGACACUGAGGUGCGAAAGCGUGGGUAGCAAACAGGAUUAGAUACCCUAGUAGUC